rnacentral:rRNA from 1 species
CAACUUUCAACAACGGAUCUCUUGGCUCUCGCAUCGAUGAAGAACGCAGCGAAAUGCGAUAAGUAAUGUGAAUUGCAGAUUUCAGUGAAUCAUCGAAUCUUUGAACGCACCUUGCGCUCUUUGGUAUUCCAUAGAGCAUGCCUGUUUGAGUGUCAUUA